rnacentral:lncRNA from 1 species
GGCGAGCUUUGCAUGACAAUGUCAUGCUAGUUCAAUGAACUACUCGAAGGUUACAAACAUUGAAGGAGUCAAUCUGCCAGAUCGAGCUGAACAUCUCUAAAGCAUUUGACACCGUCGAUCGGUCUUUCCUCCUGAAAAUUAUGAGAAGCAUGGGCUUUGGACAAUGUUGGAUCAUGUGGACAUGUGGCUUGCUGUAACAUCCCAAAUUUUUGACUUUUGAAAUGUUAAUUAUUUAAAUAGGAUCAAUUAAAAUAUUG